GCGCGGCGCUCCCUCCCCCGGACAGCUGAUUCAUUGGCUCGGCCGCCCAGACUGCCUGGCGCCGGCCGCGUGACGUCACCCAUUCACGGAGCCCGCCUGCCCCCUCUGCUGGCGCCGGCCGGGCGGUCGCCAUGGCAACGCAGACGCCAGCCUGCACAAUGAUUUCCAGCUGGAGAGGCCUAGCCAGCCUGCGCGCUCCCUGGCUCGCUCGCGCCCGGCUUCGCUGCGCUGGAUUUCUUGCUUCAAAACAGCUGCAUUUUUGGAAGAAAGUCCACAACUGACAACUAAGCGAAACCCUCCUGGUGGGUAGCAUAAAUCUGCUUUGUUGAAGCUGUUCAUCUGUCUGAUCUGAAAACAAAGGGAAAGGCAGCUACAGAAAGCAAUUGAUGUCCCUGCACAGGUUGGGGUUGAUAUGCAAAUGUAUAAACACCAUGUUUCCAUUCUUGAGCCAGAAUGCCUUCCCUUUGGCUCUUCAUAAUCAAAUAGAAGUCAGGAUGUAGUUUAUGGAUUUAAUCUCCAGCAUUGUGAUCCAUGGGCCCUUCUGCAUUCCACUCUGGUAUACGGGACACAGUGGCAAGCCCCUCUAGCUCCUGUCUGGUCCAUGGGGAUAGGUUACAUACCCUUUGCUAGAGAGCGAAGAUAAAUCCUGGUGUCACUUUGAACCUGCUUUCACGGGCUGCUUCAGCUUUUUCAGGGCUGAGUCAGGAACCAGUCCUCUGCAUCCUCCAACUGAGGGAAACCCAUUUCUAGAUCUUCACAUGGUCCAGCCUGCGCUUGAGGUGACAGAAAAUGCUUUCUCCUCCACCCCACCGCUUUCUGAAUGGGCAGACUCAACCAUAGCACUGUCGUCUGCAGAAGAAUCUCUUUACCAUUGCUUCCUGUCUCCUCUGUCCAUUCUUUUGUAAGUGAGAGGCUUCAGGAGUUAUGGAACAAAGCCUUUUGUAACUCCGCAUUUAAAGAUCUGUUUCAUUCUUUAUGAUAUUUGACAUCUGAUUUUUAUGAAUGUCCUCUAAGCGGCAGCUAAGCAUUCACUGUCUUCUUCCUUUUGCUUCAUCAAGUACGGGGGACACUGGAAGGAAGAGGCACAUGACUACUCCCCUAACUAUGAGAUAUUGGCACCUUAGUUGAGAGCAAGAUAUGAUGAGGCCUGAUUUGACAUCUGGUUAUACUUCCCACAUUGUGUAAUACUGCUGUAGUGACAGCAAUUCAGAUGUAGUAAUUUGUGUUUUGCCCCUAUUAUAGUAAGUCAGAUGGCAUUUUGCAGCUGUUUACUCUUUACAUACGUGAAGGUUAAUUCACCCCAGGGGUUAUUUUUUCUGAUGUAAGAAUCUUAAUUUUCUUAACUUUUCCCCUAAGUGUCACAUGCCAUUCUUCUGAUUUUUAUGAAUAUCCUCUAAGAGGCAACUAAGCACUCACUGUCUUCUUCCUUUUGCUUCAUCAAGUAUGAGGGACACUGGAAGGAAGAGCUACCUCAUACAUUUUAUACUGACUUACAUCUUAGAGAAGUUUAUCUUGGGUUGAAAUUGGGAUUUGAAGAGAGGCUUACCUGACUUAGGUUUGUCUGAGAACGCUGGUUAUGUCCCUUGAUGUCUGAUUCCUUCUCAAAAUAGAGCUCCCGUGUCUCAAAAACCAACCAUGGUUUUCUGUUUGGUUCCCUACCAAAGAAAAUACUGUCUGUUCCAGUGAGUCAAAUGUAAGACUGUCUGUGCCAGUCCAUUAAAACAAAUCAUCCAGUUGCUGUUAAUACAUGACCGUUUCCAAGGGCAAAUCCAAAGGAUU